AAGUCGUAACAAGGUUUCCGUAGGUGAACCUGCGGAAGGAUCAUUAGUGAAGCCUUUUGGGCUAAUCUAUCCAACACACCUGUGAACCGUGGGCCUAGCCCUUACACACGUCCAUGUCAGAAUGUAAACACUAUAGCAAACAUAACUUUCAACAACGGAUCUCUUGGCUCUCGCAUCGAUGAAGAACGCAGCGAAAUGCGAUAAGUAAUGUGAAUUGCAGAAUUCAGUGAAUCAUCGAAUCUUUGAACGCACCUUGCGCCGUCUGGUAUUCCGGACGGCAUGCCUGUUUGAGUGCCAUGAAAACACACACCAAGGGGUUUUCCUUGGAUGUGGACUUGGGCGCUGGCUUUUGCCUCGCCUUAAAUGUGUUAGUGGCAUUAGCCGACCGCAGCGUAAUAAGUUUCGCCGUCUUUAAGGCAAGGGCUGCUUAUAACCCUGUCAAGCUUGCUUGACUAAUCUAUACAAGACCUCAGAUCAGGUAGGACUACCCGCUGAACUUA
rnacentral:rRNA from 1 species